AUACGUAGGUGGCAAGCGUUGUCCGGAAUUAUUGGGCGUAAAGCGCGCGCAGGCGGUCCUUUAAGUCUGAUGUGAAAGCCCACGGCUCAACCGUGGAGGGUCAUUGGAAACUGGGGGACUUGAGUGCAGAAGAGGAAAGUGGAAUUCCAAGUGUAGCGGUGAAAUGCGUAGAGAUUUGGAGGAACACCAGUGGCGAAGGCGACUUUCUGGUCUGUAACUGACGCUGAGGCGCGAAAGCGUGGGGAGCAAACAGGAUUAGAUACCCUGGUAGUCCACGCCGUAAACGAUGAGUGCUAAGUGUUAGGGGGUUUCCGCCCCUUAGUGCUGCAGCUAACGCAUUAAGCACUCCGCCUGGGGAGUACGUUCGCAAGAAUGAAACUCAAAGGAAUUGACGGGG
rnacentral:rRNA from 1 species